UGUACUUUCUGUUAGCUGUACCCAAGUCCUCUCAAAAGCAGUUUACGGGGUGACAAUACACUAAACCUCGAUUUUUCUUCUUUCCUUUUCAUAUUUUGCGUGGAACAUAACUGGACCAACAGCGAGAGGAAAGUUUCUCUCGAAAGGGAAAAAAGCCAUUCGGACACCACCUGGCUAAUGGCCCCCAUGUUGCACAUCACGUCCUGCAGCCACGGGCAGCAGUGGGUCGUAAAUGUGCCCCAUGAAAGUUACACAUCACCAUGCUGCAAAUCUUUCAGCGCCGAUGUGGACCCACAGAGGGGGAUUCGUGUCGGUCACCUCAGUGCAGGCAGUGCUCCCAGUGAAACAUCUCAAGGUUGUCCCUGGCACAGCACCCAGCAGCUUCAGAUGAAGGGAAAACAACCGUGGCUGAGCAGAGGAUUAUGGGGAUUUCAAAGGGAUGGAACUAGUUCAGAGCCAUCAAGGCUGAUCAGCUGCCUGAGGCAAACAGCCUACAGUCUCAAGAGGGGUCCAGCAGUUUCAUCUGUCUCACAGGCCCAGGGAUGGAAGCACAACAAAAAACUACCAGAAAAAAAAAAAAUACGAUCGAUUAUAUGAAAGAAAGAAAAAAAAGACCCUCACACAACACAGAAUAAAGAAAGAAAGCAGACAAGGAAGAUUAAGGGGUCACACAAGAAGCAAGCAUGACUGUUAUCUUCACAAGCGCAGAUUAAACCAUCAAUAACUUUUAUACUGAAGUCUACUCUCUGUUGUUUUGUAGGUAUUUAAUACACAUUACUCUGUGACUACAGUUUUUAUUAAAAUAUCAUCUACACUAGUAAUCAUCCUCUCAUUCAGUCUACACCUUUCAAAUCUUGAGAGUAUAAUUGGGAGGUAUGUUUACAAACCCAUCUAGUGCAAACAAUUUAUUAAGGAAAUAGUGUCUUUCUGCUCCAGCUGUUCACAGCA